rnacentral:lncRNA from 1 species
UUGGCAUCUAAAGACAAACUAUUUUAGUAAACAGUGCUCUUCCCUAGCAAGAGUGAGAUCUGGCUACUUGGACAAGGACCUGCCCACUGGUCAGGCAGUGUGCCCGGGCGCCUCAGCAAGAGCAGACACACUGAUUUUGGAAGAUGGGCACAAGAUGGCGGUUCUGUGCAUCGAGUCUGAGGUCCUCAGUUCCAUCAUUUACAUCAGAUUUUCAUCUUAACAGAAACCUAUUACAGAUGGCAGGCUUAAGAUCACAGAUGUUGCCUUGAUUUUGGAGGGAUUUCCACAGCAAGUCGGACUCUCAAGGGGCAAGAACUGCUGGAGAUAGUUGGGGCUUUUGGCACUGAGUCAAUUUUAUCAUCCACACCCACAUCGGAGCAGCAUCCAGGAGAAGCACAGAAGGAAAAUUACCUGUUAAGUGCUCGAAAAGCCAGAACUGUUUGUGCUUGGCUAUAGUCGGGGAGAAGUUGCUUCUUUUUCACGUAAAAGUUUUUUGCAUCAGUGCUACCAUUAACAAUCCAAUAAAAGCUUGGUCAGAAUGGGCUUUAUACAUUUUGUAUGUAACGGUGAACUGUAAAUUUGAUGGGGAAAGGGAAGUAUCAUUUAUUAAUCCCUGUUCAUUUCUCCUUAUGGUCAGUUGAGUGGCUCACUGACAAUAGUAGAGGUUUUUU